CCCUGCAAAUGCCAUGAUCUUGUUAUUUUUUAGUGCUGAGUAAUAUUUCAUUGUGUAUAAAUGCCACAUUUUUUUUAAUCCAUUCAUCUAUUGAAGGGCAUCUAGGUUGGUUCCCCAUUCUAGCUAUUGUGAAUUGUGCUGCUAUAAACAUUGAUGUGGCUGUGUCCCUGUAGUAUGCUCUUCUUAGGUCUUUUGGGUAUAGUCCGAGAAGGGGAAUAGCUGGGUCAAAUGGUGGUUCCAUUCCCAGCUUUCCAAGGAAUCUCCAUACUGCUUUCCAAAUUGGCUGCACCAAUUUGCAGUCCCACCAGCAAUGUAUGAGUGUACCUUCCCCACCCCCCCCACCCCUGCAUCCUCGCCAGCACUUAUUGUUGUUUGACUUCAUAAUGGCUGCCUUUCUGACUGGAGUGAGAUGGUAUCUUAGGGUGGUUUUGAUUUGCAUUUCUCUGACUGCUAGAGAUGGUGAGCAUUUUUUCAUGUAUUUGUUAAUUGAUUGUAUGUCCUCUUCUGAGAAGUUUCUGUCCAAGUCCUUGGCCCAUUUGUUGAUUGGGUUAUCUGCUUUUUUGUUGUUUAACUUUUUGAGUUCUUUGUAUACUCUAGAGAUUAGAGCUCUAUCUGAUGUUUGAGGGGUAAAAAUUGGUUCCCAGGAUGUAGGCUCCCUAUUCACCUCGCAUAUUAUUUCUCUUGCUGAGAAAAAACUUUUUCAGUUUGAAUUCGUCCCAUUUGUUGAUUCUUGGUUUUAACUCUUGUGCUAUAGGAGUCUUAUUAAGGAAUUUGGGGCCUGCCCCCACGAGAUGAAGAUGAGGACCAACUUUAUCUUCUAUUAGACGCAGAGUCUCUGGUCUGAUUCCUCAGUCGGCCAUCUUGAAAGCCUGACCGUGCAGAACCCCUGAAGCUCUCCUGGGAGGAACCAUCACCACCCUCGGAAAGGCCACCUCAACGUGGAGAAGAUGACCAAGGCUCAUCAGUGGAUGUGUCCUGUCUUGUGGAAACCCUGACAUACUUCUCUGGGAGCUCGAGGAUGGCCUGGUGCCUGCCCUGCAGCAGGGGAACACCCCCUAUGUCCAUGGGGUUUUGUAUUUGUACCAGGAUUUGGCCAGUACCCAGAAGGCUCUGGAGCUGCUGGGUAAAAGGUAUGGACGCCUCCAGCCAUAUGUUGAGGAGGAGUACCUUCAAGACAAGAAAUCAUGACUCACCUUCUUCUCAUUCCCUAAGAAACAAUAUUGAAGUUAGACCAGUUAAUUACUCUGUAAUGGACUGAACAGUUGGAAUAAAAGGAAGAGUUCCAUGUUUUGCAUUCCAAAUAGAAAGCUGUGCCUUGGGCUGGGCUGUAGCUCAGUGGCAGAGUGCUUGCCUAGAAUGUAUGAGGCACUGAGUUCAAUCCUUAGCACUACAAAAAAAAAAAAAAACCAA